CGUAGGGGCGAGCGUUGUCCGGAAUUACUGGGCGUAAAGGGUUCGCAGGCGGCAUGGCAAGUCCGAUGUAAAAGGCGAAGGCUUAACCUUCGUAAGCAUCGGAAACUGUCAAGCUUGAGUGAAGGAGAGGCAAGUGGAAUUCCUAGUGUAGCGGUGGAAUGCGUAGAUAUUAGGAGGAAUACCGGUGGCGAAGGCGACUUGCUGGGACUUCAACUGACGCUGAGGAACGAAAAGCGUGGGGUAGCAAAACAGGAUUU
rnacentral:rRNA from 1 species